rnacentral:lncRNA from 1 species
AUAAAUAAAAGAAAUAAAUUAUUUUUACAACAAUGUACGGAACAAAUGAUACAUAAAAUAAAUAAGAUUAAGCAAAAAUAUAAAAUGAUGUGAGACUCACAUGUUAUAACUUCCUUCUCGACCUUUAAUCUUCUGUAUUCCAUAAAUCAGUCAUGGAAUCAUUCGUAGUGAUAGUAAAUAUAUAAUUAUCCACAUAGCAACUCAGGGGUAUCACUCAUGAACUGGUCACCCAUUUUGUUAUGCAAAACACUCUUGACAAUAUUCAUUUCUGAAAAGCAUCUCCUCAUCGAUUUUGGCAACUGUCAAAAUUAGCACCAUUUUUAGAAGUUGAUAUACCAAAGGAAAAGCAAGAUGUUUCUUAGUGUUAGUUAAUACUUUGACAAGAUCUGCAAUGUGAUCCAAAUUGGCAAAUCCUUGGUCUGUUUGGAGAUUGCCAAUUUACAUUCGAAGUUCAUGAUCAAGAUCCAUCAAUUACGUUGGAUAAAAGUCAUCAGGAUAAAACUCAGCUAGUUUGCAUAAAUACUCAAAGUUAAAAGAAACAAAAGAUAUUUGAAGUCUGCAUUGUCUGCAAGGUCCUGUAAUUAAUUAUCUCGGUUUGAUCUCUAAUUAAAUAUCAGUGUCUCCUGUCCGCUUCAAUAGAAAUCUAUCUAUAAUCUUCUAGUCCUAAUUGAAUCAAGGAGAUAAAUUAAAAUUUUCAAUCUUAGUAUUGCACACAUGUAUCAGCGCCUCGGGUACCUGGGAUGAACCGAAGUGGAGAAUCAAUAAUCGCAGGACUACAGAUUAGGGUGACGCGGCCGGCGGGUGGACAUCCCCGAACCAAAAUUAGCGCCGUACACCAUUGUGGAGGAUUUGGGGAUCGAUGUAAUUGAGGAGGAAGCGAAUAGCUCGAGAGAGGCGUGCGUCCUGACCUACUGCGACCUGGCGGCCGGCUGCGUCCAGGAAUUAGUAGGGUUUUUUGGCACCAGAUAGAUUGGGUCUUGUGGACUGUGUGUUAGGUUAGCAAACAGAUCAAUACUUCUUCUUUAUUUUGUAAUUAUCUAACUGGGCUAAGACUUUGGGCUUUUGUUCUGUGGUGGGCUGGGGUCAAUCGAUCUUUUGUGCUGGGGUCAAAGGCACAAAUCGGUAAAGCUAUUAGCUGAAGCAUCGAAUGGCAUUGAUGUCAACUGACACCAGUGCCUACACGUGAGCUCCGUCCCUGGCUGCAGGUAGCAAGCCACGGCAGCCGAGCAACAGUAGUGGCACAGCAGCAGGCACGUGGGCGCGGCCAAGGCCCGGCCGGCGCGCGGGCUGGGCGCGGAUGUUCAGGGGCGCGACGGACGGGGGUGAGCGCGAGCUCGGGCAACGGUUGCUACGGCGAUAGAUCAACGGGAAAAGAGGGGAAUCGGCCCUGGGCUCACGGAGGGGGUCGGUGGCGAGGUCGAGAAGGCCGGGGAAGGUCGGGACGCAACGAAUCCGCCACCGAACAGGGCCGGCCGGGCUUGAGGACGACGUCCGUUGGCGACGAGCGGGGGCCUUCAGCUCGAACUUGCCCUCGCAGGUGAAGUGGACGACGGAGGCGCGUCUCCUGGAGACCUUGGAACGACGAACGCUGGCCGGUGGACACCGUGACGACGACGAAGACGAUGAGCGCGGUGACAGUAGCUCGGGCGCGAGGAAAACCGAGAGGGAGAGGGGCGAGAGCGGGGAGGGGAGGCGAUCUAGGGUUCGGGGCGCCGCGGGGUAGGUCUUGUAGGCGUCGGGGAGCUGCCGGAUGGCUGCCCCGUGGCCAUCGGCGCCGUGGACGGACGCUCUGCGUCCACGGUGGCUGCAUGAACAGGGAGGAAGGGGAUGAACAGGUGUUGGGCUGGCCUUGCCAAUUGGCCCUAGUGGCUGAGAGGAACAGGGGGGCCUUCUCUUUUCUAUUUGGUUUUUUUCUUUUUAAAACUUAUCGGUUUUCUUUUUUUUAGUUUCAUUUUAUUUUUAGUUUUAUAAAAUAUAACACUAGCCCCUAAAUUAGUAUUUAGUAAAUAGGCCACUACCAUAAUUAAUUUGGUACAUUAAUUAAAUAGUUGGCAUUUGUUUAUUUUAUUAAAAGCAUUUAAUAAAUGUUUUCAGCUAUUGUUUUAUUUAUUUUAAAGUAUUCAAACAUUUUAUAAAGGUGUAGUUUUUCUACCAUAAUUACCUAUGCAUUAUUUGGCAUUACACGAACAUUUUAGUUUUAAUAUUUGAAAACUUUCACCGUUUGACUCUAAUUCAAAUUUAAUUUUAAUCUGUCUUAAACUAACGCACGUUUAUCGACAGUAACCGAGGCGUCGUGGCAUCAUUAGCAAAGGUUCACUGUAGCUUAAUUAUCCGGGCGUCACAAUUCUCCUCCACUACAAGAAAUCUUGUCCCGAGAUUUUAAGAGGUGGACUAAGGGGGAAAGGUCUGGUUACGAAAUUCUAACGAAUCUUCUCGGUCUUGGUUGCUCUUCUCCAAGAGGUCGAUCCACUACAUUGAUGUCUUCAUUUCUCUGCUCUAGGUCAUCAUGACGAAGGUGUCUUCCUUUCUUCGAGAACUACAUCGUACUUACGAAAGAAUAAAGGGGGGGGGGGUAUUCCGGGGGAACGGACCUCUGCACGGUUGACUAACUGGUAGAUAACAUCAGGGAAGGUGGCGGAAAAUAACUCUCGAAUUGAACUUAAGAAGAUAUCGAGAGCAAAGUAAGAAGGUACCAUAAGAAGUUUCAAGCGGAUAGACAAUCACUGUUGCCUGAAACAACGCAUGAAAGGGGUUCACAGCAACGAGAAUUAGUUUUGUGUCCGAUACUAGAAUUGACGAUCUCUCGGAAGGUGGCUUGAUAAUUACAUACGAGGCCACGUGCGAGGAAUAAUUUUGGAAACAGGGGGUGUACAGGAGAGUCAGGUUUCGAUCCUGUGGAACUGUGAGUUAUGGGCCCACCAUGUGGGUUAAAAGUAGGAAGUGUGGUGAAAUCUUGCACGGUUUUGAUAGCAAGGCAUGUCAGAGGGUGGCCUAUUAGUUAUGUCGGCAACAAAGUCGGUACCAAGGGCGAGGGAUGAAGAGAACCAUUUUCCUGCUCGUUGAAACGAGGCGGACCAAUAGGCAAAGUUCUCAUCCAUCGGUGGUUACCGGAAUGCCAUCAACAGAAGCAACAAGGUCUUACCGACACGGUUGUACACCAAGGUGUUUACAUAAGCAGGAGAAUAUUACUGCUUAGAUCAUAUAGAUCACCAGUAAUGUUAAACAAAACAAUGGAAAGGAGAAGGUGAUCAUCAGUUUAAACAUAACAAUGGAAAGGACAAUGUGUCUAAACACAUAUUUGAGGGGUAUAUCCUUCCCAAGGGAAGCAGAGCAUGAUAUCCAUGACAUGAUAUAAUGUAGAAAACCCUUUAGGUAAGGCGAGAAAAAAUUCAUGACAUUAACCAUACAACAGUGUUUGGAUAAUAGAGGAAGAAACAUUUAGCAUUGGGCUUCAAAUGUUCUUGCUGAAAAUCAGAGUACCGCAGACAUGCUUCGAGAUAGCAUUGCAUGGUCUUCAAGCAAAGGUUGGACUUGGAUACACAAAGGAUUCAUCAGGAACAACUUAUAGAAUAAGUCUUACAAUUUCCUCAUGAAAGAAUGGUUAACCUUGCCAAAAAGGAAACUAUAACAGCAGGUCCUCCGGCCAGGUGUGCUAGGCAUGACAUCACCUUACCAGGUCAUAUAAAGACCAAUAUUAUAACUCUUGGAAAUAUGUUCCAACCAUCAAAUCUGACCGAGAUUCAGAUUUGAUUGGUGUCAAAUGACCUCAGACUCAGGAUGCCUGAGAAGAAAAGGUGCAACACAAAUUGACGCGAUGACAUUGUAAGAUCCUCGGGAAUGAACUAUGGAAGCGAGUUUCGAAACAAGAGUUCAUCAUUAAAUCAAGGAAAGGGUGAGGAGGUGACUGAUGGACUCGGCGCCAAUCCAUUGAGAAUUCCAAGAAGAUGAAUUUCCACAAUCAUGUGAACAAGGAGAUAACAUUUGUUAAAUCAAAUGGUGUAAUGAUGUAUGCUCGAGGAAAACAUACACAAUUAAACAUUGGUUGAAAGGUGCACCCGAAAUAUGGGCUUAGGUAGCAUGGCCAAUGUUAGAAUGGUGAUUCGAUAACCAAUGGUCUAAGAAUGAAAUAUCGACCAAUAACUUCAAAGCAAUAGGGUUGCUAGAAGGGCAGAAUCCAAACAGCACCGUUCACCUGUUGGUAUCCCGGUUAGAACCAACACGGGGACCAAGAAAGAAUGGUGAUGGUGAGAAGUAUUACUAUAUCAAGAAUUAAUAGUUGAGGUAAUGCCCUCAACAUUCUUGACAUAACAGAUGGUAAUACUCCAAGAUAGAAUCAUAAUAUAAGUUGGGUAGAAAAGAAACUACACAAAACAUGAACAAGUUUUGUGUCGGAGGGGAUGCGAGAAUGUUGUCGAUGUUAAUACAAAUCAUCGAGGGCGCAAGGAUGGUAUUACUCAUCCUGAAUUCAACACACAACUUGGAAGAAGUCCAAUGGUUGACAAUGAUCACGACAAAUUCGUCGAGGGUUUCAAGAAGAUGUAAUCAAUCGGCGACGACAUCAAGUCAAAGAAAUGAUGAAGCAAAAGAUUAUUGGAACCAAGGGUACGACCCAAACUCAAAAUCGAUCUUGUUGUUCAAGGCUAAAUGAUACAACGAGGAAGAUCGACGUAAGAUUAGCUCAUCGUCGUAAAUUGUGCUCUGGGAAGAAGGACCGGGUAGCACAGUUAAAAUUUAGCACAAUAAUGAUAUAGUCGAUCAGGUUAGGAAUGACUUGAAGGAUUAAUAAACUCAUAAGCAACAAAAAUUACUUAAGAGUUAUUGAUUCGGAGUGCGGAACCGAUUCACUUAUCGAUGUUUUGGGUUGACAAACAACCCAGCACCCAUGAAGUGACAGCGACAGGGAAAGGUGGUACUUCAUCAAAAAUUCAUAAGAUGUAGAGCAAUGGCAUGAUAUCCACAAGAUACCAGGGGUAAUACUCAAAGGUAGAUCAUAAUAGAGGUCGGGCAGACUGUAGAAGACAAAUGUUUUAACUUGUCCGAGAAAUGGGAUCAAAGAAGAACAAUCAUGGUCGGAACCACGGUUGAAAAGGGUCAAUUCACAAAUACCAGAUGAUAGUUAUCAAGGAAAUAGUUAUUAUUACAAGAAGCUUCCAUGAUAGGAUCUACAUCAUGUCCAUGGGCAUGAACACAAAGUUCAAGGUCGACUCCCACUUCUUUAAUGCAUAACCUUUCAUUCACUUCUCGCCUUCAACAAAGUUGUGGUGUUAAAAUUUUAUCUGACAUAACACCAGUAGAGUAUGACCCGUAGUAGUUUCCGGGUUCACACAGAUUAGAAGAGGCAUAUGUCCAACCCAUCGGGGCCUCUUAGGAACUUAUACCACAAACUUCAGGAGUAAAUAACACAAGCUCGAAAGCAGAGCAUGGUUGACAAAGCAGAGGAUACAAUUUACCAAAGGCAUUAUGUAUCAGGGGAGGAACUCUCAAGGUUAUUGGAUAUGAAGGACACUGUCGGAUAAUAACCAAGCAAUUGGUCUCGCGGACCACCAGGAAUCUGAUGUGAGUAUCGGUACUCAAUCAGAAGGAAAAAGAAUGCAAAAGGCAUCGGUCUAUAGAACAUAUGAAUAAUUCAACGUUUAAAUGACAAAGGAAUUAUGAUUUUCAAAUCAAGUGAUCAAAAGCAAAUGCUCUGAUUAAGGAUGGAUAACUUGAGUAAGCUUAGGGGUACAAACGACGACAAUUUGAUUGGUUGAGAACCAGCUCUUGUUCAAAAUGACACCUAAGCCGGAAGGAUGAAUUCUAGGAUUCGGCUGAGGAAUGCGAGUAUCCUCAACAUAUUGAAUCAACGAACUUAAAAUGAGAAAGACAAGGAAUGCCAAUAAGAUUACGAGACUUGUGGGAUUAAUCGUAAAGCAAGCAAGAAUUUCAAGAGCAAUAGGGUGCUAAGGAUUUUCGGAAGUUCAAAUAUUAUUUCGAAGACCUUAGUGAAACACAUAAACAACUGGAGAUGAGUGGAUACUCGAUAAGUGGAAUGAAUUACCGGCAUGGGUAUUCAGGUGGCAAAGAACUGCAAGGCAGUAGGCACAAAGUAUUCUCGGGACAACAGAGAGUAUUUCGGGGCAUCUUGUAAUAAAAAAAUCAACGAGGAAUGAUUGUAUGAAUGGCAAGUGUAUGCAGUUUUCAUAGAGGUUGACGGUGGAAGGAAAUCGCAAAUGCGAUGACACAAAGACUCGAGAGAGCAUCGUAGAGUAACUUCGGAAUCUUCUAGUGCAGCAGGCGAUCAUCUGAAGUGAGGGGCUCUCCGGGAGAAAGUAUUUUCGAGAACCUAAAGUUAGUUUUGUUUUUAGCAAAAUCAUUUAACCCGAAUAGAAGAGACCUCAGAGUCCCAGAGUAUAGACGAGGAGUAAAAGAUCCUAAUACCACCUGAUGGCGACGUGGGCCCAUGGGCUGCACAGCCAUGUUAGUAAAAACUUUUUCAAUGACUAGACUCAACUUCGGCCAAGGAGUUGGAAAGGGGGAUUCCUACAGGCAGUUUGCUCUGAUACCAACUUGUGACGCCCCCGACUCAAUUGUACACUAAUCAUGCACGCAAACGUGUACAAUCAAGAUCAGGGACUCACGGGAAGGUAUCACAACACAACUCUAAAACAUAAAUGAGUCAUACAAGCAUCAUAAUACAAGCCAGGGGCCUCAAGGGCUCGAAUACAAGUGCUCGAUCAUAGACGAGUCAGCGGAAGCAACAAUAUCUGAGUACAGACAUAAGUUAAACAAGUUUGCCUUAAGAAGGCUAGCACAAACUGGAAUACAGAUCGAAAGAGGUGCAAGCCUCCUGCCUGGGAUCCUCCUAAACUACUCCUGGUCGACGGCGGGCUGAACGUAGUAGUAGGCACCUCCAGAGUAGUAGGAAUCGUCGUCGACGGUGGCGUCUAGCUCCAGGGCUCCAGCAUCUGGUUGCGACAACCAGGUAGAAGGGAAAGGGGGAAAAGAGGAGCAAAGCAACCGUGAGUACUCAUCCAAAGUACUUGCAAGCAAGGAGCUACACUACAUAUGCAUGGGUGUGUGUGUAAAGGUCCAUAGACUGAACUGCAGAAUGCCAGAAUAAGAGGGGGAUAGCUAAUCCUGUCGAAGACUACGCUUCUGGCAGCCUCCGUCUUGCAGCAUGUAGAAGAGAAUACACUGAAGUCCUCCAAGUAGCAUCGCAUAGCAUAAUCCUACCUGGCGAUCCUCCCCGCGUCGCCCUGUGGAAAAGCGAUCACCGGUUUGUCUGUGGAACUUGUCUGGGUGUGUUUUAUUAAGUAUCCGGUUCUAGUUGUCAUAAGGUCAAGGUACAACUCCGGGUCGUCCUUUUACCGAGGGACACGGCUAUUCGAAUAGAUAAACUUCCCUGCAGGGGUGCACCACAUAACCCAACACGCUCGAUCCCAUUUGGCCGGACACACUUUCCUGGGUCAUGCCCGGCCUCGAAAGAUCAACACGUCGCAGCCCCACCUAGGCACAAUAGAGAGGUCAGCACGCCGGUCUAAAUCCUAUGCGCGCAGGGGUUUGGGCCCAUCGCCCAUUGCACACCUGCACAUUGCGUGGGCGGCCGAAAGCAGAACUAGCCCCCUUAAUACAAGAGCAGGCUUACGUUCUAAUCCGGCGCGCGCCGCUCAGUCACUGACAUCACGAAGGCUUUGGCUGAUACCACGACGUCGAGUGCCCAUAUCUUUCCCGCGUAGUUGGUUAGUGCGUAUAGGCCAGUGGCCAGACUCAGAUCAAAUACCAAGAUCUCGUUAAGCGUGUUAUUAUGAAGCAACCGCGGACGCCGACCAGGGGCCAGGCCCACCUCUCGCCUAGGUGGUCUCAACCUGCCCUGUCGGUCCGCCACAAAGUAACAGUCAGGGGCCGUCGGGAACCCAUGCCCACCUCUAUCGGGAUGGAGCCACCUGUCCUUCCAGCCCCCAUAUCGGAAUCACUUGCGGGUACUCCACGAGCAGACGCGACUUUAGUCACCAUCUCUAUAGUAUGUAUGUAUGUAUGUAUAAUAUAUACCCGUGAUCACCUCCCAAGUGAUCACGGCCCGAUAGUAUAGCAAGGCAGACUGACAAGAAUGUAGGGCCAAUGAUGAUAAACUAGCAUCCUAUACUAAGCAUUUAGGAUUGCGGGUAAGGUAUCAACAGAUGUAGCAACAAUGACAGGCUAUGCAACAGAAUAGGAUUAAUCGAAACAAUAACAUGCUACACUACUCUAAUGCAAGCAGUAGAGGGUAGAAUAGGCGAUAUCUGGUGAUCAAGGGGGGAGGCUUGCCUGGUUGCUCUGGCAAGAAGGACGAGUCGCCAACACCGUAGUCGAACUGGGGGU